AAUCAACGAUUUAUUUUCAGAAGAACUACCUGUAAGUGGUUAAAUCAACAUAUGCCGCGAACAGAUUGUAAACUACGCUAGGGUUGAGUUAAAGUUUGGCGGCAAAGGAAUCAAAACUUCAGUUGUUUGGUAAACAAAGUUGUGAGCAGGCUUAUGGAAGAAAUAUUUUUUGGAACGUCUUUUAAGUAGUCUACCACAAGAGACUGAAACGUUAUACCUACAUAUAACCACAUUAAAUCCGACUAAGAAACAUAAAAAGCCAACAAUAUCAAGUUGGCAGCUUCGCCGAAGCUCGCGAAAGUUGCAAAAAGCUAGUUAGUAUUUCCACAGAACUACAAGUAGAACAGUUAUUUCUGCGCACCAGCAAAUUGCAGAAAACUUUAAUAAUUUUCACGGAAACACCUACUCCACUUUACCGACGCAGCUAACAUUGCUACGAUUGCUAAAGUUCUGCGGCGACCAACAACUGCAAGCUCAGGGGAAAAACUUUGUUUGCUCAACUUUGCUACUCCACUCCGACACACAUUUGCCGCGUAUCCUUUUCCAAGACUCAUUACCAACCGCAGUCGAAGAAAAGUAAAAUCACGAAUAAAUGUAAACAGACAAGAAUAUUCAAUGUCAUCAACUCAACAACUUAAUUACCCAGCACUUAAGUGAGUCAGGCGCGCGUAGCAUAACCUUCAUUGUGGGUGUUUCUAGUUAGUUUUGCUUUUGUUUUUGUUUGAGCGAAGUUACAACCGACACUUUUCUGCCAAACAACGAAAUAGCGAAGAGUGCGGCAACUUUAAUGAGCGAAACGACAAUGACAAGGCGAUGGAGAUGAGAAGGUGUUGGCGGUGAUGGCGGUAAUGGAAGCUCGACAGGCUUUUUAUGCGAAAGUCUUUAGUUUUGUAUGCCGAGCGGCGCUCAGAAAAACCGUCUAAUUACAACGCUGUCUGUGGUUGCUUAGAAGGUAUGUCGGGCAGACGCUGGCGAGCUCGAGUUUUUUUUUGUCUCUGAGUCUUCAACUAAUGACCUAAAACUUAAAGUCUCAUUCGCAUAUUUUUUCUAUACACUUUCUUCGCAUAAUUGCUAAUAUUUGCUACGUACAAGCCCUACUCGGCUUGGACGGUUGGUAACUCUCUCUCUGCACAAAGCAAGGCAAAACAAUACCAAGAAAACGUUGUACGUACAUGAUAACAAAAAAGCCCUUGACAAGUGCGAAAGUAGCAUCAACUAUGUGGAAGCGAAAAAACUGCAAAACACUUUCCAUUCGCCCUAACCACACCAUCUAACGGCGCCGCACCCUGAUCUACUUGCGCUUUGCACAACCAAAUUCAUGCGGACUGCCGCACGACGCCGCACAAAUGGCCUUCUCAGCAUCAUCAUCAUCAACAGCCGCAGUCAGCCAGCUCGGGUGACUUGUGUGCCAAACGUCGACUGAUAGGCCGUAGGCUGUUGACGCUUGUACGCUUGAAUGGGAUCAGUGUUUUGUUGCUUUUUCUACCAUUGCCACUGCUGUCAUUAUGUAAGGAAAAAGCGCUGACAAAGCGUGUAGCUGACCUGCUAACCAAAAAACAGAAGCAGCGCAAGAGCAACCGAGCCUCAUCUGCUUGGCCGUGUCGACUGUGCAGACAGUUGGUUUGCGCCUUUGGCGUUCGACCUGCUCUAUAUAACUCACACAAUACCGAGUACUUAUGCUAAUGUGUACAUGUUUCGCACUCAUGGCGGGCGUGGUGCGGCGCACAGUCGGCGCGUACUCACUUUCUUUAGCCACAUUGCUGUUAAUGUGCUUUUCAUUGCACGCGCGUGUAUUGUUUGUCAUUUUCAACACAACGUUCUACAUUUUCAGCAUCAGCGGCAACGCGGUGCUUUCCUCGCACGCUGUUGUCGUUUAUGUUUUUGGCUUGGCUAUGUGUUGGGACAGUUUCCGCCAAGUAUAGCCUACUCAGCUCGCCAAUCUAAGCGUCAUUUGCUUGCCGUCCAUCAUCCGACGACCAGUGUGGGCUGAGAGCUCGUCACAUUUGUGUUGCUGAAAUGCGCUAGACAUGACGGCUUGACUGUACGCUAUAGCGGCACAUAAAUGUCGCGCGCCUUACAAGUCGCACAAGCCGUGUAUGCCGUCGCUCUCCUCUAGUUGGUUCGCGCUCUGGUCUGUUUUUUUGCGUAUAUGCCGCGCCGGUCUCACUGUCAGCCAUUACCAUUUUUAGCAUGUCGGCGCGCAUUGACAGCGUCUCAGUUGUCGCUUGCCUCGUGGCUUGCAUGCUUUUUCAGCGCCUUUUUUGGCUUUUUCGUUGGCCACCCGUUCUUUCCUACUUUUACAGCUUUGCCGUUUACAACGUUUAGGCCUAUCGGCGCUUUGGCUUUAUGCGCGCCGACCUCCGUUGUAUGUUGUACGCUUUUUGCUGCAAUGUUCCACUUUGUAUGAGUGCUGACAAGUCUACGUCUCCGCGCUGACCGUUUUUACAUGUCGCACUUGUUUGCUUUCAGCUUUUGUUAUCGUUUUUGCCUUUUGUGGCAAGCUGUGACUAUUUGUUUUGGUCGCCAGUGCGUUUUGUUUGUUUGCACACUCGGCCGGCCGCAACGAGCGUGGACGUAAUUUUUUAUCAGCCUUCGGUGCUUUCUUCCUGUCGCCCCUUUCGUUAGGCUCGUUUUUAUGGCUGCAUUUCAAUAAGCUGUUUCUGCUGUCUUGUUGUUAUUAUUUAUGUUGAUUUGUUUGUUAGCUGUCAAAAUGCAACAAUAGAAGUAUGACAGCUGACAGUGCUGUUUUCACAAGCACAUUACUGUACGCACUUGGAUGGACAAUAGCGACCAACCAAACAACUAAGUCGUUAGAUUGUGGGUGUAAGAAAGGCGAAAAUUCAUUAGAAUAGUGGGGUUGCCUUGCGGAAGGUAAUUUCCUGCGCUGAGUGACCGCUACACUGACCUUUUCGUAACUCAUUUGUGGCGGUAUGUGCGCGUAGCGCUGAUAAGAAAUAUACGAUUACCUCGUUACUCGCUUGAAUUGCGCAAAUAAAUUGCUGGUGAUUUGUACAAAUUGGCCUAAACUGUACGAAACUCUGCUUGGGGUUGCUCCAAGUGUGUGUGUCUGGUGACAAAGUGAACCUUUUUUCGGUGUGUCUACAGUCUGCAAGAUAAAUUGUCACACGUUACCGCAUAUCUGUCAUGUGACGUCAAAAUGUCAGCAUAAGUGUGAGCAUACUAUAACUGCGAGCAUAUAGCGACACAUACAGUGUAGUUGUGAGAUGAUAAGGAGGCCAGAAAAGCAGAAAUAAAUACUGAUUCAAGCAAAAGAGCAGAAGUAGGUAUAUGCUUCAGUAGAGAAAGUAGCAAAGCAGAGUCGUUCUAAGAAUUUCAUUCUUACAGCACUAAACUUAUCAGUGGUUCUAUAUUGAGGUUUUUAGGAAGCAGCUUACUAGGCUCGAAAAAUAUUUAAAUGCACAAUGUGUGUAGAAAAGGUACUUAGCAUACCGAAAUACCUCGCGUCUCUUAAUAAGCUUCUCUCUUUCUCUUCGACGACAUUAGCAAAAUUAGAGCAGUAAUCAAUUUCAAUCGCUUCUCUUCGCCUUCAAGGUCAAAAACGAAACUCUCUGGAAGAAGAUGUUGGAUAGACUUCCCUACAGACAGCUGGUAUAGAAAUAUAUGUUAAUACCGAGCACCCUCACUGUAAGCAAGUUCUUUGAGGCGGAAACUUGUCAAUAGCAGUAAAAUAUAUUGAUAUUCCGAGUACAUGUGAGUUAUAUGCAGAAAAUAUAUCCAGUUUGUGGAAUACAAUGUGUUCAAUGGAGGCGAGAACUAGGAAAAAGGACAAAGUUCUUCGUGCAACUUAGAUAAGUAAAACUAUAAAUCUAUCAUCAAUCGUAUUUUCAGCGUUUACACUACAGUAAUGGUUCUGACAAGUUCGAAGACAUUGCUUUCAGAACUUUGAGGGUUUGAUGUCUCAUAUUUUAUGUUGUCAGCAUGAAGUUGAGAUCCUUCUUGACUUUCUGUGCUCUUGCUUGUACUGCUUGACGCGUAUAUGUAGUAAGAAUUUUGCCGUGACGUUUUAUACUAAUUGCUUCGUCAGCAGUAACGUAUAUUCAGUCGUAACAGAUACCGCUCUAUAUACAGCCAAAAACUGUAACGUCAGCAGUAUGCUACAAAAUUAUUUCGAGAAUAUUUUAUGUCGCUACAGCAACAAUCGACCUUUUGUAUCUUUGCAGUCGCAGCUGAAACAGGGUUUACUCUUUAGUGUCCGUUUUCCGUUUGGUAACGGUAUUUCGUCUCAAACAAUCUAGCCCUUAACGUAAUUUAAAAAUUUCGCCAUAAAUUUCGACACUUCAGUUGCACUCCGCUUCUUUUCCACUGUGCGCAUAUCUUACUCUUUUUAAUUUCUUUAUUCUUGAAUAGUUGCCACUGCAAUUUCGGCUGUGACGCAGAUAUUGUCUGCUCGCGCGAUUUUGUCACAAAGUUGCACUGCGUUUACCUGCGCCGCUUGCACUUUCCGACUCUUCGGCCUUUACUUCUUGCUUCAUAUGUGGCGCUGGCAUUCCUUGCUUGCCGUGCUUCGCUCUUUCUUUUACCGCGGGUUUUAUGCCAAAGUUAUGCUUUAUGCAAAUUUAUGACUUCCACGCAUCGCAAUGACAUUGCACUCGCAUCGGUUGAGACGGCGACGGUGGCGGCUGUAAAAGUUCCGUUUCAACAUUUUUAUGGGAUUCUGUAAAACUUUCAACUGUUAUUCAAACAAGCGGCGAAAUAAAAUUGUAAAAUGUAAAAUGCGCAUAUAAAAAAUGGAAAUAAAUGUGUGUGCAAGAAAUUGCAUACGCCAUUUGUGUGGUUCGUUUAGAAGCCGAGCUACAGCGCGUGCGUGUGUGCCAGUGUAGUGUGUCAGCACAGCAGGAAGUCGAAAUUGCGGAUUUUUUAAGCUUUGACACUUUUCCCUUGUUGACUCUUCAACGCAACUGGCAAUUUCCGACUUUCGAGCAUUUCAUUUUUUAUACUUCAAUUUUUGUUUUUGCUUUUUGGCUGCACCAACCAGAGUGUCCAUAAAUAACUCAAACUUAUCGUUUGUUGUCAAGGAUUGAGGUUAAUUUAAAAAUCGAACUGUGCGAAACGAAAUGCAUUGCUUGCCAAGGCGGGAAGACACGCUUCACUGCGAAUUCACACACAAAAGCGGAGAAACAAAAGCACACAGCAAAUAAAUAGUUAUAAAUUGAUUUCCGAACACUUUCACUGCAGUGCUGCUUCAUUUCAUCGCAGACGCAUUCCAAUAAGUAACGGCAGUUAUUGCGUGUUCUUUUCACUCUGUAACUGUUGUUGACAUGUCUGCUGUCAUUUGUCAGCGCGCUGUACUUUCAACAACGCGCAUUUCCUACAGCCCUGCGCUCUCACAGGCUUGUGACUGCUGCCUCAUUGCCAAGCGGCGUUGCAGAGUCACUGACAGACUGUCAGCGCGUAAGUGACGCAGUGUAUUUGCCGCGGAAGAUGGACAACUCGCAUUGGCAACACAUAUUCGUAUAUGAGUAUGUAAUGCUGUCAACGACAAAUAUUCGCGCAUUGCAAAUGUAACGAAACCGCAAAACCAAACGCAAACAUACAAACACAGGCGGAAAGUGCCGCUGCCCGCGCACCAGUCACAGUACGUCAGUGGCCGGGCAGUUGUCAUGGAGUUUACCGAGUCGCAGUGCAAAGUGCACGAUUGCCACUGAAUGGGCUCAAAUGUAACAGAAUACGAUGGCGCAGCGUGGGAUUGCUGGUGAACGUCUAAUGGCUACGCCCAUUUGGCGGUGCUGGUGGUGGGUGAUAGGUGCAAUUUGUUAAUGAGCGCCAAGCGCACAUUGCGGCGGCAUGGCUGCGGUGUUUUGGGAAGUAAUUGAGUUCUGGUUUUUGUGGCGGAGCGCGGUAGCGCUACGCAAAUUGCGGUGCAAUGCAGAGCUUAGCAAUGCCGUGGAUUGCUGGCAGAAUUUAGGCAAGGCUUUGCGUGCGGGUGCGGUAGCUCAAAAGUAUAUAUAGCGAUGUAGCUUAGGCUUAAAGUGGUGGAGUUUCCGUUGCAAAGCUUAAAACAAGUGGGUAAUUGGAAUUCUGCAAAUCGAUAUCCCUGCCUACCUAGCAAUGGAGAAGUCAAAACUUUGCACUUCGUAUAACUCACAACUUCUGAUAACUACUUCUACACGCUGGCUUUCAUCCUAACAAUCGGAGAUCAGCUCAUUAGCAUCACAGAAGCCAAAAGAUAGAGCUUGGAAAGUCCAAUGCCGCGGUACAUAAGUGUCACGUUCUUCAUGUCUCAGCAAGUAAUAUUGUUAAGUUGAUGGAUGCCCUAGAAGCUUUAAAGAUUUGAGUAAUAUAUCUGAGCUCCAUAAACACCAAGAUUUUAUUGUCUGAGCCUACUUUGUCAACGCGAAAACUCUCUUUCAGACGAAUCUUUACAUGACCCAGAACUUCUAGUUUCCUUAAGACAAAUGAAACUUCGUUUUGUCGACUCGUUUCUGCACCUUUAAGCAGUUAAUGACAAAUCAGGGAGAUCGGCUAUAAUUUCUCGAAAACCCGGAGCUCUAAGAGGAGCCCGGCGGUGUUCUGCAACAAUGUUUUGUGAAUUUUUUUUCUACAACAAUUCGUUACAAUCAAACCCAGGCUUCGGUUUUCUCUCUGCAGGCCUGUCAUUUAGUAUUCUCCUGCAGUCAGUUUCCUUUCUAUAAUCUACAGUUUUCUAGACGCGUAUUUUAGCCAAAAAGUAAUCUCUAAAAUAACCUCAAAUCCAUCAGACAUUUGUCUAGCUGCCGGUAAUUACAAUCUUUUUGUUGCUCUCUUUACGAAAUACUUUGCAGAUCUUGCUUUACUUUGCUCAUUUUCCCGCUUCACUGACCUGCCAUUAAGUCAUCUAACCAGCAGACAGUGGACGUUGACUGUACUCCAAAGCGACAGGUUUGCAUAGUUUAUAGCCUACGUUCUCCAUCUACAAUUUUUCACUUUUUCUGAGUGAGAACGCUGCUGUAAUCACUCUUUUCAGUUUGACUUUUUUUAGUUCGCUUUGUUGCACUUUCUCAUUUCUUUGCUUCACAAUCGUCUUAAAGUUAAAUUGUCAUUUCUCUUUGUUUGCAUUUAAACUUUGCCAUACACUUUUUCGCUACCGAUUUGGCUUUGAGUAAAAAGAAAAUGUCGCAAACUUUUGCUGCGCUCGCAUUCUCCGCUCCUCUUGCAUUUAGUGCUUAUGUAUAAUAAAGGUCGUUGUCAUGCAACAUUGUAUGCUGUUACAUUGAAGGCAGGUUACAAAAUUUGCAGGAAAAAAUAAAAUAAUUGCAAAUCGACAACAAACGGCUUACAACAACAAGUAGCGGCUUGCAUGUAGGGCUUCGUUACUCUGAGCACACGGUGCUUUAUUGAUGGCUUGUAAUGCAUUCUUGUGUGGCACGUUUGCUGAUUAAUUUUUAUUUCGCCUGUACUUUUUGCUUUCAGUUGCAACACUGCUGCCACGAACAAUAGCCCCGUUGCAACCCUGUGAUUGUCAGCGCGGCAGCAAGAGAGCGGUAAAUAGUAAGCUUGAGCAAAUGGCAAGAAAGUGAGGUGUAAAGGGAGCCGUAGAAGAUUAAUGAAAUGAAUUGUGGAAGAGGUGAAGAGGCAGAAUACAAAUAGAAGCAAAAAAUUCUGAAGAGAAGUCCAAGGAAUCAAACUGACAAGUAGAAGUAAUAACAAGGAAGCUCAAAGCAGCAAAUGAAAUAAUAAUGGAAACAUCUUAAGCAACAAAAUUAAGUGAUAAAGAGCGAAAAAAACUCUAGAGGUUUAAGAGGACACAAAGUGCGCAGGGAUUGUACGCAGUGGCGGAUUUACGGCAAACUAAGAAGGCUAAAAAGCGUUAAAGACGAACAAAUGAGUUUAGAACUAAGUAGAAUAAAGACAGAAAUGCAAGAACGAAGAGAAAGCCGAAAAGCGCACUGAAUCGUGAAUAAAACAAUUCCAGAACGCAAAACUUAAGCUAAGCGCAGUGUGAAACAAAGAGCAGACAGUAAAGCGACGACAACGUAGCGAGCUUUAAACGAUAAGGCAAUGCAUGUUGCAUAUUGUUGCGUAAUUUCCGAAAAAAGCUCGAUAUUUUAACGCGGAAGCUAAACUUAAUCGUUGUUUAAGAUACCGCAGACAGUUGUAACCGAUAGAUAACCGUGCUUCAACAUUUUUUCUUUGCUAUCAUGUUGUUGGCGUACGUUUGCUGCUAUUUGUUUUGUCAUUUGCUGCGACAAAAAUUAGAAUGACGCUGGAUUUGCUGACAAAUGUUUAUUAAAGACUGGUUUGGUUACUUAAUAGAAAUUGCUGGUAUGCUUUUGCAGUGGCACGCCUCUUUAUAUGCAUAGCUACCAAUAAAUAGUUUAGAAAUAAGAAAAAAAAGUGAAAUAAGCUGAAAUACCUGCGCUGAAUUGAGCUUAGAAGCGCUGAAUAUAAUUUAAAAUGCAUACGGUGUUACACAUUUUAAAUAACUACAUAAUUAUACUACAACAUUUGCGCUGAAUAAAUUUUUCGAAGCGCUAUAUAAAAAUAUAUGCCCAGAA